rfam:Phenylobacterium sp. SCN 70-31 ABS78_C0028, whole genome shotgun sequence.
GCGGGCGUGGCGAAACUGGUAGACGCACGGCACUCAAAAUGCCGCGACCUCGGUCAUGUCGGUUCGAUUCCGACCGCCCGCA